rnacentral:rRNA from 1 species
GUAGGGGGCGAGCGUUAUCCGGAUUUACUGGGUGUAAAGGGGGCGCAGACGGCCAUGGCAAGCCCGGUGUGAAAGGGGCGGGCACAACCCGCAGACUGCACUGGUAACUGCCUGGCUGGAGUGCCGGAGGGGUAAGCGGAAUUCCUGGUGUAGCGGUGAAAUGCGUAGAUAUCAGGAGGAACACCGGUGGCGAAGGCGGCUUACUGGACGGCAACUGACGUUGAGGCCCGAAAGCGUGGGGAGCGAA